rnacentral:rRNA from 1 species
UGAACGCUGGCGGCGUGCCUACUACAUGCAAGUCGAGCGAACGGACGAGAAGCUUGCUUCUCUGAUGUUGGCGGCGGACGGGUGAGUAACACGUGGAUAACCUACCUAUAAGACUGGGAUAACUUCGGGAAACCGGAGCUAAUACCGGAUAAUAUUUUGAACCGCAUGGUUCAAAAGUGAAAGACGGUCUUGCUGUCACUUAUAGAUGGAUCCGCGCUGCAUUAGCUAGUUGGUAAGGUAACGGCUUACCAAGGCAACGAUGCAUAGCCGACCUGAGAGGGUGAUCGGCCACACUGGAACUGAGACACGGUCCAGACUCCUACGGGAGGCAGCAGUAGGGAAUCUUCCGCAAUGGGCGAAAGCCUGACGGAGCAACGCCGCGUGAGUGAUGAAGGUCUUCGGAUCGUAAAACUCUGUUAUUAGGGAAGAACAUAUGUGUAAGUAACUGUGCACAUCUUGACGGUACCUAAUCAGAAAGCCACGGCUAACUACGUG